UAGCAUCAUACUGCAUACUACAUAGUGAGGAUCGUCGGCCUACUUCUUCUCUUUCUCAAGAUCUUUCUGCUUGGGCACGAGAGUGAACACUUUGGGCGAUAGAGUUGCGCCUUGAGAUACAUCAUCGCCAUUGUCGUUGUCGGUGACCGUGCAGCAUGCCUUCCUUCAAACUGGACAUGCGGUUGUGUUGGAGGGAAGGAUUUGAGAAGUGGUGUGGAUCAACAAGGGCUACUCUGUCUGGAUGUCUGAAAAAAGUUAUUGCACUUUAAGGGGAAAGGCAGAGAGUACGAUUAUGGCAAUGUCGACUCUCUAAGCCUCAAUGGCGGCGGUGGAACGUGAUUCCAUAAUUGCUGAAUAACGUCAGACUAGUCAAUUGAUUGUGCCCUCCAAUAAGUUUUUUUUUAACUUUUCCUUCAGGGGGGUAUUGAAUAUCCAUUUUAGAAUUAGACUUUUUGUCUGGUGGACUUUUGUAAUGAACAUUUAUGCUUCUUAUAUCUGCUUGAGAGGGCCCUAUUUUUGUUUUUAGCGAAAUCGACCGACCGAGCUCUCGUAUUGGGUCUGAAUCUUUACUUAUUUCCAUUUCCUAAAUCAAACCAUUUCCUUCGCGAAGACCAUUAUGGUUUAAUCAGUUGCAUGGUUUGGCUCCAUCCCUCCUUCCAAGGUACUCAGGCACAAAACACUUGCAGGCAUGGUGAUGAUAAAGGCAAGGAGCAAGGAAGCACAAAAUUACCAUGGCCACAAACUGUUCUCCCAUUUGAACAACCGGAAAGUGACGAAAUGUGCUGCAAAGAAGAAUCUUCUUCUCAUUCAGUGUGCUUUGAAAAACUGACCUUGAUCGAGAAAUUAUUACUUGUUCCAAAUUAUCCUCGGAUUUCUCUUCAAACAUCCUAUCACUCAUUGUUUUCAUUCUAUCCCUAUGGUUAUGAAACGAUGUGCGAAUCAUUUUUCAAAUUGUCCAAUGAACUUCAUUAUGGCUCUGUUCAUUUCA